GCAGUGGCUCAGGCCUGUAAUCCCAGCACUUUGAGACGCUGAGGCAGGAGGAUCACUUGAGGUCAGGAGUUCAAGACUAGCCUGGCCAACAUGGUGAAACCCCAUCUCUACUAAAAAUACAAAAAUUAGCUGGGCGUGGUGGCACAUGCCUAUAGUCCCAGCUACUCGGGAGGCUGAGAUGGGAGAAUCGCUUGAACCCUGAGGGCAGAGGCUGCAGCGAGCUGAGAUGGCGCCAUUGCAC
rnacentral:lncRNA from 10 species